AUUUAUAUAGUUUAACUUAAAACACUUCAUUUUCAAUGAAGAAAUGAGAAUUUACUCUAUAAAUAUA
rnacentral:tRNA from 1 species